UCAAAAACAAAAUCUAUACAAGCUACAAAAAUGCUAUGCUAUACAUACAUUAUGAAGGAGGUCGAAUAAUCGAGUACAUGGUUGAGAUUGAUUUGACGGUGAAGUCAGACGAGAGAUUUUGCUGCUAUCGCUUGAGGUCAGCUUUUUGAAACAUCAAAUGUGUCGUUUCAUACUGUUGUUCUAAUUCCCCGGCUUGCGAUUGUUAACCGUUCUCUCUGUGUUUCGAGAGGAUCAGAUAUUUGGGAACAACGUAAUAGUGUCAUAAACUGUGUAAACCAAAAUGAUGAUAAGCCUACGGAUGGCAGCCUUGAUAUUGCUGCUCGUGUGUGGAUUGAACAACGGAGCGUUCAUCGAUGACGACGGAGAUCGCUGUGAGUGGCAGUACGGAUGCUGUCGGAGGAACAAGGAAGGUGACUGCGAGGAAAUGUGUCGACAGCCCACUUCCGUUGUGUGCACCAACGCAGAGGGAAAGGUGGGCGUGUUCAACAUCAUCAACGUGUAUUUUUGUCGAGAAGGCUACCUGAGGGAUCACCGAAACCAGUGUAGAAAAGUUUUCGAUGGAUUUUAGUGUUUUGUUUUCAUGGGAGAGUGGAGCGAAAUGCUAAGGAUAUAUUAAUAAAAUAAAAAUCUUCUUAUUUGUUGGCUCUUCACCACUUUUA